CCUACGUGGGGCAGCAGUGGGGAAUAUUGGACAAUGGGCGAAAGCCUGAUCCAGCCAUGCCGCGUGUGUGAAGAAGGCCUUCGGGUUGUAAAGCACUUUCAGUGGGGAAGAAAGCCUUGGGGCUAAUACCCUCGAGGAAGGACAUCACCCACAGAAGAAGCACCGGCUAACUCCGUGCCAGCAGCCGCGGUAAUACGGAGGGUGCGAGCGUUAAUCGGAAUUACUGGGCGUAAAGCGCGCGUAGGCGGUCUGAUAAGCCGGUUGUGAAAGCCCCGGGCUCAACCUGGGAACGGCAUCCGGAACUGUCAGGCUAGAGAGCAGGAGGGGAAGGUAGAAUUCACGGUGUAGCGGUGAAAUGCGUAGAGCACGGGAGGAAUACCAGUGGCGAAGGCGGCCUGCUGGACUGACACUGACGCUGGGGUGCGAAAGCGUGGGUAGCAAACAGGAUUAGAUACCCCAGUAGUC
rnacentral:rRNA from 1 species